UGGGGAAUAUUGGACAAUGGGCGAAAGCCUGAUCCAGCCAUGCCGCGUGUGUGAAGAAGGCCUUUUGGUUGUAAAGCACUUUAAGUGGGGAGGAGGCUACCUAGAUUAAUACUCUAGGAUAGUGGACGUUACCCACAGAAUAAGCACCGGCUAACUCUGUGCCAGCAGCCGCGGUAAUACAGAGGGUGCGAGCGUUAAUCGGAUUUACUGGGCGUAAAGCGUACGUAGGCGGCUUUUUAAGUCGGAUGUGAAAUCCCUGAGCUUAACUUAGGAAUUGCAUUCGAUACUGGGAAGCUAGAGUAUGGGAGAGGAUGGUAGAAUUCCAGGUGUAGCGGUGAAAUGCGUAGAGAUCUGGAGGAAUACCGAUGGCGAAGGCAGCCAUCUGGCCUAAUACUGACAC
rnacentral:rRNA from 1 species